rnacentral:SRP_RNA from 1 species
CGCUUGGGCCUUUCGCAACAGGAAUUCAUGAACCAUGUCAGGACGGGAACGUAGCAGCAUUAAGUGAAACCUUCUGUGUGCCGGAAGCAAACCUGAGCCGAGC